CGCGUAGGCGGUUGUCUAAGUCAUUUGUGAAAUCCCGGGGCUCAACUCCGGGGCUGCAGGUGAUACUGGACAGCUAGAGCUCGGUAGAGGCGAGUGGAAUUCCCGGUGUAGCGGUGGAAUGCGUAGAUAUCGGGAAGAACACCAGUGGCGAAGGCGACUCGCUGGGCCGACGCUGACGCUGAGGCGCGAAAGCGUGGGGAGCAAACAGGAUUAGAUACCCUGGUAGUCC
rnacentral:rRNA from 1 species